GCAACCCUCAGAAGAGGCCCGUGACGUCCUCUCGGGCUUGAUGAGUACGUGAAAGAAGAGGGAGAGGGAAGGCAAAGAAGAAAAUAGCUGGCACCGAGGGUCGACCGAGAAAGCCCGCCCGAGGUUCCCGAUCUACUUGUAUACUCUGAAGAGGGGGGCCACUCGAGACAGCGCCGCCACCCAAGAGCUGCAUAGGCCGCGACGGACGCGUGAGACGCCUCUGAACGGGCGGGAUUUACCUACCAAGCUUCCUCGCUUCGGGUCCACAAUCUCGGCAUGGCUCAUCAUAGGAGUGAGUCUUGCUUGAAACUCACGACAACCGUCUCCGUUCUGCUUGUUCUGUUUCAAGCCGGCAACGCCCAGAGUAACAUAGCGAGCUACGCCGGCCGGGUUCUAAACGAUGUCUUCAAGCCGGAGAAGUAUGACAAACAAGUACGACCGGCCGGGACCAACGAGUCGACGGGUCCCGUGGUGGUCGUCACCAACAUGUUCGUCCGUUCGAUAGAGGACAUUGAUGACAAGGAUAUGACGUUCGACGUGCAGCUGACGUUCCGCCAAAAGUGGAGGGACGACAGACUCAAGUUCAACGACCUCGGCGGUCAGCUCAAGUAUGUCAUCGUGGAGGACACUCACAAGUUAUGGCUGCCAGACCCGUUCUUCUCGAACGAGAUCAGCGGAUCAUUUCACAACAUCAUGAAGCCGAAUGUGCUGGCGAGGAUAUAUCCCGACGGCAGCGUGCUCUACAGCAUCAGGGUGUCGCUGAAGCUGUCGUGUCCCAUGAACCUGAUGAACUUUCCGUUUGAUAAACAAACUUGUGGAAUCGUAGUAACAAGCUAUGCUCACACGACGGAAGACAUAGUAUACCUGUGGAGACAAAGUGAUCCUGUUCAAGUGAAGAGGUCUCUGCACCUUUCGAAGUUCUCUCUGACCAAGUUCACGACAGACUACUGCACGUCAAGGACGAAUACAGGCGAGUACUCCUGCCUUCGACUGGACUUUACGUUCGAUCGGGAACGGAACGGGUACAUGGUCAACGUGUACAUCCCCUGCAUAAUGUUGGUCUUCGUGUCUUGGGUCGUUCUCUGGAUCAACAACAAGAACACGGCGGUGCGCGUGUUCGUGCCCCUUGUCGUGCUGCUGGUGAUGGCGAUGUUCAUAUCCAAGCUGAACCAAGAGGAGUUUCCGCGUACUUCGUACACCAAGGCCGUGGACACGUGGACGGGAAUCUGCCUCACUUUCGUCUUCCUCCUGCUCAUCUACGUCACAGCGGCCGAUUACGUCAUUCGCGUGACUCGAGGGGAACAGGAGUCUUCGCAGAGAGACGAAAGCAAGGUUGAAGAAGCGGGCAAGCCGGCUCCUGGAACGGCUAAUAAGUCCUUCUAUGAAUCUGUGAGGUCAUGGAUGCACCGACCAAGAUCCACGCCGGACAAGAUGGAUGUCGUGGCACGGAUCGUUUUUCCUCUGUGCUUCUUACUGUUCCUCAUCAUCUACUUCAGUGUCCACGCUGGAUCGAACGCCGACUAGUUGCGUACGUUUAUUCCGAGCUCACCUCGCCAUACGGGUGGUGUUCGAAAACUCUGCGUCUGACAUGUCUGCGACGUCGCAACCGCUUCCGGGGCCCGCAAUCUGCAGAAGUAAAGCCUUGGAGAUGAGAUUUGAUUUCUGAGAGAAAGAGUCGUCACUGGCGUUCAGAUAUGGAUUAAAUCUUCCCUACCCCUUCCCUGCCUCCCCUGCACUCCCCUGGGGGCAGAAUUCGCAAUACUUCUCUUCCGUAAGUCGGAAAGCAUAGGAGACAUUACUUGUUGUUUCUAACUUUGCAAUGAUUAUGACUGAAACGUUGGUUUUGUCUAACGAAAAACCAGCUCCUCGAAAUAUUCCCUUCUUUCGUUCUUUUGCAAGUGCGUUUUACCAUCGGUCACCCGGCGUCGCUAAUGAUAUGUCCCGCAUCCUGACUGGCUGAAAUAUUAUCCGAAGAAAAUUUUCCGCAUAAGAUGUUUUCUGAAUACGGGCCCUGUUUUCUUGCUCUAAGCGCGUACCAAAUAGCCUGGAGCCUUGGCAAAAGGGCACCAAUAAAUGUUUACUUCUAACACUGCCCAGUGAACCGGCGCCUAGAGCCGACCAUUAGAGACUGUGUUUCGGCGUAGGUGGUCGACGUACCGUCUUCCUUUAAGACAUGGAAUCAAUGUAGUUGUUCGGAGAGUACGAACGUAAAUUACAAGGAAGAACUAACCCUAGUUAGUUCGCUAUAUACUAAUGGUUGCUGCGCAUCCAACUUACACGAACAAACGCCACACACAAACUUAUACGCACGAAGCCAAAAGCCUCUGUGUACAACUGCAAGGCAUAGCUAACUAUCAGCCAGAACGCGGCUGGCAUAUGCCUUUGUAACAAGGUAUUAGCAUACGACGGCAACGGUUAUGAGCGGAGAAUGUGGUCGUGCUUCUCCUUUAUUCGCCGUGCCACCGCAUUCUCAAAGCAACGAAUAGUGCACGCAUCCGGGCCUCUACUCAGCCGCACCAACCACAUAUAACAGGACAGCUGCUGCGGCUACACUCGGACCGGUCCCCGUACUCUUGACAAAAAAGGCAGCAAAUAAUGAGCGUCUAGAUUAAUGAAUCCUUAUCGUCAUAUGUCCCGCAGUUUGAUCGCAAGCGCCAUCAAAACCAUGCAGUGCUUACUUUAACUAUAGAAGGUCUUCAGGGUUUCCGCGUUUCUGGACGUGAUUCGCGACAUGGCGAGGGAUAUCGUACCGAUUUCAAAGUAACCACGUACCUAGAUGUUUGCAGUGUAUGUCUGUCGUGUGUUUCUGUGGUCGUAGAUCAGUGUUAAAAG
rnacentral:misc_RNA from 1 species